AGAGAUGUGGCUUAGUGGUAAAGUGCUUGCUUGGCAUGUAUGAGGCACUGGGUUCGAUUCUCAGCACCACAU
rnacentral:tRNA from 1 species